GGGCGAGUACCCAAGCGGCCAAAGGGGGCAGACUGUAAAUCUGCUGGCGUAUGCCUUCGGGGGUUCGAAUCCCUCUCUCCCCA
rnacentral:tRNA from 1 species